rnacentral:rRNA from 1 species
AAUCAACGCUGGCGGCGUGCCUAACACAUGCAAGUCGAACGCGAAAGUCCCGCAAGGGAUCAGUAGAGUGGCAAACGGGUGAGUAACACGUGGGUGACCUGCCCUCAGCUCUGGGAUAAGCCUGGGAAACCGGGUCUAAUACCGGAUAUGACUCCAUGACGCAUGUUGUGGGGUGGAAAGCCUUGUGCGGCUGAGGAUGGGCCCGCGGCCUAUCAGCUUGUUGGGGGGUG